rnacentral:rRNA from 1 species
AACGAACGCUGGCGGCGUGCCUAACACAUGCAAGUCGUGCGAGAAAGUUCCUUCGGGAGCGAGUAAAGCGGCGCACGGGUGAGUAACACGUAGGUAACCUGCCCCCCAGUCUGGAACAACUAGAGGAAACUCUAGCUAAUGCCGGAUGAGACCACGAUCCCUUCGGGGGUUGCGGCCAAAGAUGGCCUCUACUUGUAAGCUAUCGCUGAGGGAUGGGCCUGCGGCCAUUAGCUUGUUGGUGAGGUAACGGCUCACCAAGGCUGUGAUGGCUAGCUGGUCUGAGAGGAUGACCAGCCACACUGGGACUGAGACACGGCCCAGACUCCUACGGGAGGCAGCAGUGGGAAUAUUGCGCAAUGGCGAAAGCCUGACGCAGCGACGCCGCGUGGGUGAUGAAGGCCUCGGUCGGUAAG